AAGUCGUAACAAGGUUUCUGUAGGUGAACCUGCAGAAGGAUCAUUAGUGAAGAUUUGGGCAGGCCAUACGGAUUACCAAACUUGUGUGUCCCUGGCCGCCUACCCACUAUACAUCCACAAACCCGUGUGCACUGUAGAAGGACCUGGGGAGGAAGAGGACAGCGCGGUCCCACGCGCUGGGCUUGUUUCUCUCGGGUUUUCUUCGCUAUAACUCGAAUGGUUAGUAUGAACGUGGAACUUGGUUGGACCGUAACUGGCCAACAAACAUACACAA
rnacentral:misc_RNA from 1 species